rnacentral:antisense_RNA from 1 species
AUGUUUUCUUAUCUAAUAAACUGGAGUUAGCCUUUAUAUAGCCAACUUUAAUUUCUCCAAUUUCUCCUGGUUUGCUAAUAGAGGUACUUUUAGAUGGCUGGCCAAUAGUAACCGUAGAUAUUCCAUCGCUGCAGAACAGCUGAAUAGCAGUAAUUUGUUUAAGUGGUCCGACAUGUUUCUGCUCCUUGAAUGCAUGCGGGAGAGGUAGUGUACCAUUAUUUAAAAUUUCAAAGCCUUGUUUGCUAUUAUUUUCAUGUGUGCUGUACCCAAUUCUUUCUAUAUGAGUCCCAUUUGGACAAAGAAAUGCAGCAGAAAAGCCAGGAAAAUUAAGUCCAAAAGACGGGGGAUUUGUCAUAUCACAUGUAGAAACAAUUUUAUUUAGGUGUAUUUGUGGGAUUCCAGUUUGAAUAAAUCCUUUAUAAGGUAAGACAGCAAGUGGAGGAGGCUUUUCAAAGUAGGAUCCGAAGGAAACAAUACUGAAUUCAUUGUUUUUAAGAAUUCCGCCCCCAAGAUUGAGUAAGCCAAUACAAACUCCUGUCCAACGGCCACCUCUCCAUAUUCUUGAUUUGUGAUUGCUAGCUUUUGAUCUCGUUUUUAAAGAGUUCAAAGCCUCAAUAGCUGAGCUAUACGAUUUAACACCUUCAAUUUCUAAUUGUAUCUUUGAAAGGGGUCGGGAUUCAUGGACAAGUUUGAAGAGAACUGGAUCUCCAGGUAGGGUUCGUAAAAGCUCCUCCGUAACUUUGAUAGAACUUUCUUUUGUUAGUUCUCGUUUAACAGCACUGAUUUCAUCACUAGUUAGUUCCUUGUAACCCAAUAAAACUUCAUGAAUUUCCAGAUUACUUUUUGAAUGAGUUGGAGUAGCGUCUGACCCAACCUUAAAAACCGAUUUUCCAUCACUACAAAAGAAUCUCAUUGCUCCUAUAGAGCCAAGUGGCCCUUUAUUAGAGUUAUUAUUAAAUAUUUGAUCCGGUUUCAUAAGAGAUUCUGUUCCUCUAAUUAUUUGCCAUGCGACCUCCACUCUAUUUAUUACACUUUUUUCAGGACAUCUGAAGUUGAUAGACCUUAGAAGAGUUCGUUUGCUUCUUGAACGUAACUCUCCAGUCAUAAUAAUUUCUUCUGUUUGUUUGCUGAAGAGUAAUUGAGCACGGGGUGAAUGAAGCAUACCUGGACAAGUAAAUUCUUUUGAGUCAACAUCCAGUUCUCCAUUUCCUUCAGCAGAAAAUCCAUAGUAAUCACUAAUUUCCUCCCUUGAUGUCGGCUGAAAAGGAAAUACAAAUCCAAAUCCAAUAUUGUUAAUCAUGCCUCCGCUUGUAAUGUCUGCGCAGACUUUUGUCAAUACUCCGUUGUUCCAAAUCUUUUUACUUUGGUAGUUUGGAGGGAAUUUUUCUGAGACAAAAUUGAACUUGUUUUCCUUUGAUUCUUGGGGUUUCGAAGAAGCGUUAUUUUUUUGUAUAACAUGAAACAUUGAAAUAGGAAGGUUUGACUCUGGUAUAAAUAUUGAGUUUGAUGAGAAGCUCUUAGAUGGCGAAACUAGUAUGGAGUUGACUUCAUCAUAAGAAAUAGUAUCUUUUUGUACAAUGGUAUUAAUAAUAUCAAAGUUAUUUUCUUUAUGCAAAGAUUUCAUUUUGUUCUCAAAUAUUUUGGAUUCACCAAUUAUAAAGUAGUUUUCAGGAUUAUUUCCACAAUCAAAUUUUAUAGAAACUAGCCUUCCUGAGGUUUUGUUGACUAAUAACUGAAUAUUUUCUACUGCU